rnacentral:rRNA from 1 species
GAUAAGGAGCUUGCUCCUUUGACGUUAGCGGCGGACGGGUGAGUAACACGUGGGUAACCUACCUAUAAGACUGGAAUAACUUCGGGAAACCGAAGCUAAUGCCGGAUAACAUGUAGAACCGCAUGGUUCUACAGUGAAAGAUGGCCUUGCUAUCACUUAUAGAUGGACCCGCGCCGUAUUAGCUAGUUGGUAAGGUAACGGCUUACCAAGGCAACGAUACGUAGCCGACCUGAGAGGGUGAUCGGCCACACUGGAACUGAGACACGGUCCAGACUCCUACGGGAGGCAGCAGUAGGGAAUCUUCCGCAAUGGGCGAAAGCCUGACGGAGCAACGCCGCGUGAGUGAUGAAGGUCUUCGGAUCGUAAAGCUCUGUUAUUAGGGAAGAACAAGUGCGUAAGUAACUGUGCGCACCUUGACGGUACCUAAUCAGAAAGCCACGGCUAACUACGUGCCAGCAGCCGCGGUAAUACGUAGGUGGCAAGCGUUAUCCGGAAUUAUUGGGCGUAAAGCGCGCGUAGGCGGUUUCUUAAGUCUGAUGUGAAAGCCCACGGCUCAACCGUGGAGGGUCAUUGGAAACUGGGAGACUUGAGUGCAGAAGAGGAAAGUGGAAUUCCAUGUGUAGCGGUGAAAUGCGCAGAGAUAUGGAGGAACACCAGUGGCGAAGGCGACUUUCUGGUCUGUAACUGACGCUGAUGUGCGAAAGCGUGGGGAUCAAACAGGAUUAGAUACCCUGGUAGUCCACGCCGUAAACGAUGAGUGCUAAGUGUUAGGGGGUUUCCGCCCCUUAGUGCUGCAGCUAACGCAUUAAGCACUCCGCCUGGGGAGUACGACCGCAAGGUUGAAACUCAAAGGAAUUGACGGGGACCCGCACAAGCGGUGGAGCAUGUGGUUUAAUUCGAAGCAACGCGAAGAACCUUACCAAAUCUUGACAUCCUUUGACCACUCUGGAGACAGAGUUUUCCCCUUCGGGGGACAAAGUGACAGGUGGUGCAUGGUUGUCGUCAGCUCGUGUC